rnacentral:misc_RNA from 1 species
GAUGAAGAACGUAGCGAAAUGCGAUAAGUAGUGUGAAUUGCAGAAUUCAGUGAAUCAUCGAAUCUUUGAACGCACAUUGCGCCCUUUGGUAUUGCUUAGGGCAUGCCUGUUCGAGCGUCAUUUAAACCUUCAAGCUCAGCUUGGUGAUGGGUGACUGUCCUCCCCUCGCGGGGGGACUCGCCUCAAAAACAUUGGCGGCCGGUACAUUGGCUUCGAGCGCAGCAGAAACGCGGUCUCGAGCCCGGUGGAUCGGCUCCCAUAAGUCUAUUCUUUUAUUUUGACCUCGGAUCAGGUAGGGAUACCCGCUGAACUUAAGCAUAUCAAUAAGCGGAGGA